GCCUGAGUGACGUAGUGGUUUGAGCACUGGACUAUGACUCUAGAGACCAAGGUUCAAUUCCACACUUGGCCA